CCGGAGACAUCUGAAAAGUGUUUCUUGAAGACAAACUGUUUGAACCCAGAGCCCAACUCACGCUCCAACUUCUAUUGAAAUAGGGAAUGUUUGGUCAGUGGUGUAUUUUUAGCCACCAGAUGCUUCUGUCUAUCAGAAGUCAACAGCUGAACGGUGGAGUUUAUCAGGACAUGAGGCAGCCCACCUUAGCCACUGCAUGCGAUGGGUUCUAGGAAACCUGGACCAGACAGCACAUCUCGAUGCAAGGAGGUUGCCGGAGUGGAAGAAUCAAAGGAGCUGACAUCUGCUGAAGGAACAGUCAGGAUGCACCUCUUGAAACUGUUUUUCAAUGAGAGCUAAUGAAGGAGAAACAAGACAACUGCCCCGUGCCAAC